UUGUAGAAAGAGACAGGGUAAUGCGAAGGCUGUGUGUUUGGUUCCAAGGGCUGUAGAGGAUAAGUUUGAGAUUGGAUGAGCCUCUCUAGGUUAUUUUUUGUUUUUUUUCUUGACUUGGUUUCUCAGAUCUAUUAUCACCCCUUUCUGCAUUUUCCCUAUCUCUUACAAAUCACAAUCUUUCUGUCUAUUGCGUGGUAAGACAUGAGUAAAGAGGAGAAUUUGAAGAAGAUACAGAGAUGUGUUGGUGACAGUGGAUCUCUGGCUGGAAGCCAAGACAGCUGGAUCCUCCACCUUUGUGGCAUCUAAUCCAGCGUCCACCACCAAAGCAACCUCCAGCUUCGUCGAACAUGGCGCCUGCACCUCCAACACGAAGCUUGGAAAUGCUCCAACGCUGGAACCGAAAACACCGUCAGUCAAACGUCAGCUUCAACCACUGUUCUUCAUCUUGUUCAGCUUCAAACUUCAUCUUCAACCAUCAUCUUCAUAUGGAAUCAGUUAUUUCAUAGUUAGAAUCGAUGUACGUAAGCUUCACGACUUGGACUGGAAUUAUAAUAGGCAAAGGGUAAAGAAGAUAUUGUAUCGACAAUCCUUCCAAAUCGUUGCACUCUUGUGAUGAAAAUUUUAUAAAUCUUGCAAAUUCGCGCC